GCUCGCUCGCUGCAGGAUUACUUCCCACCGGGCGGGUGGCGCCGACACCUGGAUUAUACCUCGCCCCGGCUGCGGGGCCACCUGGGCGGCUGGUGCGGCUUUGGGGCACCGCGAGCGCUGUGGUUGCGGCCGCGCAGGAUGGCAGGCGGGCGCCUCGGGGGCUGGACGCUGCUGCUGCUGCUGCUGCUGCUGGGCUUGCAGCAGAGGGCUGAGGGCUCCGGCGUCUUCCAGCUCGAGCUGCAGGAGUUCGUGAACCGGCAGGGCGCCCUGGCCAGCGGCAAGCCCUGCGCCCCGCACUGCCGCACCUUCUUCCGCGUCUGCCUCAAGCAUUUCCAGGCCGUCGUGCUGCCGGGCUCCUGCACCUUCGGCAGCCUCGUCACGCCGGUGCUGGGCGUCAACUCCUUCAGCAUCCAGGACACGGAGCGCUUCGACAGCCCCAUGCAGCUGCCUUUCAACUUCACGUGGCCGGGCACCUUCUCACUCAUCAUCGAAGCCUGGCACGCGCCGGCCAACUACCUCCCGCAAGGCUCCCAACCACUGCCUGAGGAUGGGCUGAUUAGCCAGAUGGCAAUCCAGCGCCCGCUAGCCGUAGGUGAAGAGUGGUCACAGGAUGUGCAGAGUGGGCCACAGACCCAGCUGCGCUACUCCUACCGCGUCAUCUGUAGCGACAACUACUAUGGCGACAGCUGUUCACGCCUCUGCAAGCGCCGCGACGACCGCUUUGGCCACUAUGUGUGCGAGUCCGAUGGCAGCCUGGCUUGCCUGCCUGGCUGGGCUGGCGAGUACUGCACAGAGCCCAUCUGUCUGUCUGGGUGCACUGAACAAAACGGGUACUGCAACAAGCCAGGAGAGUGCAUAUGUCGCCCAGGUUGGCAAGGCCGUUAUUGUGAUGAGUGCAUUCCACAUGUAGGCUGUCGCCAUGGGACUUGCAAAACACAGUGGCAGUGCAUAUGUGAUGAAGGCUGGGGCGGCCUUUUCUGUGAUCAAGAUCUGAACUACUGCACUCACCACAAACCAUGCAAAAACGGAGCCACCUGCAUGAACACUGGCCAGGGCAGUUACACAUGUUCAUGCAAACCUGGUUUCACUGGUGUUGACUGUGAACAUGAAAUCAGCGAGUGUGAUAGCAAUCCCUGUCGGAACGGCGGUAGUUGCACGGAUAUGGAGAAUGGUUACCAUUGCAUGUGCCCACCUGGAUACUAUGGAACUCACUGUGAGCACAGUGCUUUGACUUGUAUUGAUUCACCAUGUUUUAAUGGGGGCACAUGCUUAGAAAAGGAACAAGGAGCCAGUUACACUUGCCUCUGCCCCCUGGGCUUUACAGGAUCUAAUUGUGAAAAGAAAGUGGACAGGUGCACAAGUAACCCAUGUGCAAAUGGUGGUCACUGCUAUGACUUGGGUCAAAUCCGUGUAUGCCGAUGCCGUGCUGGUUUUUCUGGUCAGAAGUGUGAGAUAAACAUCAAUGAGUGUGCCCGGAGCCCAUGUUCCAGUGGGGGCACUUGUCAUGACCUGAUCAAUGAUUACACUUGCACCUGCUUGCCAGGCUACACUGGCAGGAACUGUGACAUCAAAACCACAGAUGAAUGUGCGUCUGGGCCGUGCCAGAAUGGAGCCACAUGCUAUGGUGGACUUUAUAGUGCCAACUUUAUCUGUAACUGUCCUCCUGGCUUCAUGGGCAGCCGUUGUGAAUUCCCAGUUUAUACAUUACCUGUUCCAGUUCCUCCCAGACCAGUUCCUUGGAUUGCUAUCUCCAUGGGCGUGGGGCUAGUGGCUUUGCUUGUACUGUUCUGCAUGAUAGCUAUGGUCAUCAGACAGAUGCGGAGGCACCCAGAGCAGGAUCGAGAGACUAUGAACAACCUGUCUGACUUUCAGAAGGACAAUCUUAUUCCAGCUUCCCAACUCAAAAACACCAAUAAAAAUAAAGACCUGGAGGUGGACUGUGGGCUGGAGAAAUCAAACUACAAACCUAAGAAUCAUACACUGGAAUAUAACUUGGUAAAGGAUCUGACAAGCAGAGCGACACAGGAGGAUAAAUAUUAUAAAAGUGAAAAGUGUUUAGGAGAGAAAUCUCCCCUCCGAUUACACAGUGAAAAGCCGGAAUGUAGGAUAUCAGCAAUAUGCUCUCCAAGGGAUUCAAUGUACCAGUCUGUUUUUGUGAUAACAGAGGAGCGGAAUGAGUGCGUCAUAGCCACAGAGGGAUAAUUAUUGCAGUUUUACCUUCACUUACUGUGGGAUAGGAGCGAAUGGAUGGAAUGCGGACUCCCAAGUGGUAUAAGGCUGAAGGCCAGCCCAUUUGCACCUCAGAUUAUGCCAGUAGAUGAACAUUCCUGCUGCAUUGUUUACAAUUCAGAACUGGAUUGGACUGUUUUUUAAUUAUAUGCAACUUGCUGCUCUCAGGAGGAGGAUGGAACUGGGUGAACUGGACAGACUGUGAAUUUUACUGAAAGAUGCAAUACACCUUUGUGCUUUUUAAUGCCCAUGUUUGAUGCAAGGAAUGUAACUGGCAAUAGAAAAGGGAGGAUACGGAGAGAGGGAUCAAGCAGGUGGCUUUGCCAGGUUUUGCCUAAGUUUUUAAAUGAUAUUGAGGCCAGUUCCUCAUGGACAGACCUGUGGCUUUCCAGAACUCCAGUUAUGGGAGGUGCUAGUAGAUGCAGAAGGCACAAAACUAUCACGGACGUUGCUGUAGAAAGCAUUCGUGAAGAAAAAGAUAUGUUGCUAUGCAGAUCACGGAUACAGAAUAAACGAGGUCUCCAUUUUUUUUUUUAUUUUUUUUUUCUUUUCUUUCUGGGUUUAAAAGUGCCUAAAGCAUGUCAGAGAAUCUAGAGAGCCCAAACAGACUCAACUGCCUCCUUUUUGCAGUACCUAAACAGUAUUGGGCAGGGGCUGCUGUUCCUCUAUUUACACUCCUUUUCUCCUGCUGCAUGUACUUCAAGAUAUGAGAGGGGAGAGAAGGAAAGGAGGAGAGACCCAGGAUUUACACGUCAUAUCAUCUGGUGAUGCGUUGGAGACCUGGUUGACCCUAGCAGUAGUUGUGAGCCAGGGUUCCAUCUCUGAAAUGAUAGAGGACCUAUCACAAAUUUUAAACUGGAGCAGGGGAAGGUGUAAUAACGAAUGCCUGCUGCCUCUUCAUCCUCAAUUAUGAGAAGAGACACAAGCCCAGCCCUAACUGAAAGCCUUACAAAUGCGUUUAAAAUCAAUCAGCUACUGGAACCUACACAAGCUGAGCUGCCUCAGCUGUUUUUUCAUGCCCUUUGCACUACCAGUGAUUGUGAAUAGAACUGACUAUUUUACUUCCCCUUCCUUAUUCCCCACAGCCCCUCCCUUUUGUGAGGAUUUGGGACUGUGUGGUGUUUUUUUGGAAUCUGGUGCCACCUUCAACAGCAAAAUGUCUUAAAGUACCAGCUUUUACUUUACUCUUUUCUCUUUUUUUUUUAAAAAAAGGGGGGGGGGGGGGAUCCUUCUGCCCAGUUGCAGAACUGCCUCCUCUUCCUUUCCCCCUUCCCCCCCCCCCCCCCCCCCCCCAACACUGUCCUUCAUUCCAGUUCCAAAUGCCCAAAACAGAAGUGGCUACCAGGAUCCCCUCUUCAAGGACAGGCCCAGAAUAGAAUUUGGAACUUGUCCUGUUUUGUUUCACUCCAACCCACAGCUACAGGGAUAUGGGGAAGCCUGCUCCUUGAUCCAGAGUUGCAGCUGUGAACUGGCAAGUUCAGUGCAGAUAGACUAUCUCCUUCUACAUGCAUACAUUUACAGCAAUAAUAUUUGACACCCAAUUGGAAAGUGCUGUGACAUACUCUAAUGAUAACAGGACCCUGGGGUAGAGCAGACUGAGGAGGGUGGAAACUCAAGAAAACCUAGGACUGUGCUUUCUAUAGGACAUUUGAUAUUCCUGCCCUUGUAAAUCCUUAUUGUUGAACUAUUCUGUCAACUGCCUUGAACUGUGCAGGCAACAACCUGUCAUUACAUCCACUACUGACCUUCUACUCUGACCACAUAAGAGCAAUUUGAAGAUAACCUUCAGAAAUCAAUAAUAUGGUUUUUAGUUUGUCUGUUUUGUAGUUUUAUUUUGAAGCCUAGUAUUUCAUAAUUUAAAAAAAAUCAGAAGCACUGAACUUUCUACGUUUUAUAACUUUAUUUUGUAUAUAAUGUAUAUUUAUAAUCAAAACAAAAGUGUAAAUAUGUUUAUUACUUCUCAUGUAAUGUUUUUAAUGUGAGGACAAAGUUUGAAUUUUAUUUUUUUUUUUUCAAACAAUGAAAAUAUCUUCCUGCUACA